UCUCGAAGAGGAGAGAACGCCAACCGCCCCUCCUUUUUCUUGCACAAACGAAGAUAACUCGAAUAAAUGUAAAAGGGGAGGGAGAAUGGGUGACUUUUCUCUCUAAGUGAAAAUCGAUGGAGUUUUAUUGUGUGUCGAGGCGAAUCGUGAAAACUUCAACCUUCCCUCGCUCUGUCUUCCCUCCUUCGCAACUUUUCCCCUCGUUAUUCGGUUGGGGACACGAUUUUGUCGCGAACGAACGAUCGAAACUCGAUAAUAGUUGAGCGCUGAAUAAUUUGUUGGGCGUCGCUUAUAUGUACAAGUCGAGGGAAAU